GACGAACGCUGGCGGCGUGCUUAACACAUGCAAGUCGAGCGGAGCGGCGAACGGGUGAGUAACGCGUGAGUAACUGCCCCCCUCUCUGGGAUCACAGUUGGAAACGGCUGCUAAUACCGGAUAGUGGGGGAUGACUCGCGUGCUAUCAGCUUGUGGGUGGGGUAGUGGCCUACCAAGGCGACGACGGAUAGCCGGCCUGAGAGCGCGACCGCACACAUUGGGCUGAGAUAGGGCCCAAACUCCAACGGGAGGCAGCAGUGGGGAAUAUUGCACAAUUGGGGAACCCCUGAUGCAGAAGCGCCGCGUGCGGAAUGACGGCCUUCGGGUUGUAAACCGCUUUCAGCCAUGACGCGGUAGUGGCCGAAGAAGCACCGGCUAACUACGUGCCAGCAGCCGCGGUAAUUC
rnacentral:rRNA from 1 species